UACGUAGGGUGCAAGCGUUGUCCGGAAUUAUUGGGCGUAAAGAGCUCGUAGGCGGUGUGUCACGUCGGCCGUGAAAACCUGGGGCUUAACUCUGGGCGUGCGGUCGAUACGGGCAUCACUAGAGUUCGGCAGGGGAGACUGGAAUUCCUGGUGUAGCGGUGAAAUGCGCAGAUAUCAGGAGGAACACCGGUGGCGAAGGCGGGUCUCUGGGCCGAUACUGACGCUGAGGCACGAAAGCGUGGGGAGCAAACAGG
rnacentral:rRNA from 1 species